GGAUUCGUACCCAUGCCAGCAAAGGGAAGGCUUUAUUACAGCCAACGCUCUAGCCAACUGAGCUACGAGGCCCCACCGCUGGCGUGGGUUCGAAUCCCACCGAGGCCG
rnacentral:tRNA from 1 species